rnacentral:misc_RNA from 1 species
UCUCCGUAGGUGAACCUGCGGAGGGAUCAUUACAGAGUUCAUGCCCUACCGGGUAGAUCUCCCAACCUAUGUUAUUAUUACUUUGUUGCUUUGGCGGGCCGUUAGGCUCCGGCCCGACUACCGGCCCCGGCUGGUAAGCGCCCGCCAGAGGACCCAAAACCCUGAAUAUUAGUGUCGUCUGAGUACUAUAUAAUAGUUAAAACUUUCAACAACGGAUCUCUUGGUUCUG